UGCGUUCGUAGCUCAACUGGAUAGAGCACCGGGCUUCGAACCCGGGGGUUGGGGGUUCAAGUCCCUCCGAGCGCGU
rnacentral:tRNA from 1 species